GACGAACGCUGGCGGCAUGCCUAAUACAUGCAAGUCGAGCGAACAGAUGGAGUGCUUGCACUUCUGACGUUAGCGGCGAACGGGUGAGUAACACGUAAGGAAUCUACCUAUAAGCGGGGGAUAACAUUCGGAAACGGGAGCUAAUACCGCAUAAUAUCUUCUUCCGCAUGGAAGCAGAUUGAAAGACGGCCCUGCUGUCACUUAUAGAUGACCUUGCGGUGCAUUAGUUAGUUGGUGGGGUAACGGCCUACCAAGACGAUGACGCAUAGCCGACCUGAGAGGGUGAUCGGCCACAUUGGGACUGAGACACGGCCCAAACUCCUACGGGAGGCAGCAGUAGGGAAUCUUCCGCAAUGGGCGAAAGCCUGACGGAGCAAUGCCGCGUGAGUGAAGAAGGCCUUCGGGUCGUAAAACUCUGUUAUAAGAGAAGAACAAAUUGUAGAGUAACUGCUACAGUCUUGACGGUAUCUUACCAGAAAGCCACGGCUAACUACGUGCCAGCCGCCGCGGUAA
rnacentral:rRNA from 1 species